GGGCUCACUCCAAGCCGGAAACUCUGACCGAUAAUCAGAUCAGAGAGGUUAAACUCCUCUUGAGCCCU
rnacentral:tRNA from 1 species